ACGUGCGCAGGCGGUUAGUAUAAGACAGAUGUGAAAUACCCCGGGCCUCAACCUGGGAACUGCAUUUGUGACUGUAUAGCUGGAGUGCGGCAGAGGGGGAUGGAAUUCCGCGUGUAGCAGUGAAAUGCGUAGAUAUGCGGAGGAACACCGAUGGCGAAGGCAAUCCCCUGGGCCUGCACUGACGCUCAUGCACGAAAGCGUGGGGAGCAAACAGGAUUAGAUACCCGAGU
rnacentral:rRNA from 1 species